rnacentral:rRNA from 1 species
UUUGAAUCUUGGNUCAGGAUGAACGCUGGCGGCGUGCCUAAUACAUGCAAGUAGAACGCUGAAGGAGGAGCUUGCUCUUCUGGAAGAGUUGCGAACGGGUGAGUAACGCGUAGGUAACCUGCCUCUUAGCGGGGGAUAACUAUUGGAAACGAUAGCUAAUACCGCAUAAAAGUCGACAUUGCAUGAUGUUGACUUGAAAGGUGCAACUGCAUCACUAAGAGAUGGACCUGCGUUGUAUUAGCUAGUUGGUGAGGUAACGGCUCACCAAGGCGACGAUACAUAGCCGACCUGAGAGGGUGAUCGGCCACACUGGGACUGAGACACGGCCCAGACUCCUACGGGAGGCAGCAGUAGGGAAUCUUCGGCAAUGGGGGCAACCCUGACCGAGCAACGCCGCGUGAGUGAAGAAGGUUUUCGGAUCGUAAAGCUCUGUUGUAAGAGAAGAACGAGUGUGAGAGUGGAAAGUUCACGCUGUGACGGUAUCUUACCAGAAAGGGACGGCUAACUACGUGCCAGCAGCCGCGGUAAUACGUAGGUCCCGAGCGUUAUCCGGAUUUAUUGGGCGUAAAGCGAGCGCAGGCGGUUAGAUAAGUCUGAAGUUAAAGGCUGUGGCUUAACCAUAGUACGCUUUGGAAACUGUUUAACUUGAGUGCAGAAGGGGAGAGUGGAAUUCCAUGUGUAGCGGUGAAAUGCGUAGAUAUAUGGAGGAACACCGGUGGCGAAAGCGGCUCUCUGGUCUGUAACUGACGCUGAGGCUCGAAAGCGUGGGGAGCAAACAGGAUUAGAUACCCUGGUAGUCCACGCCGUAAACGAUGAGUGCUAGGUGUUGGGUCCUUUCCGGGACUCAGUGCCGCAGCUAACGCAUUAAGCACUCCGCCUGGGGGAGUACGACCGCAAGGUUGAAACUCAA